rnacentral:rRNA from 1 species
UGGGGAAUCUUCCGCAAUGGACGAAAGUCUGACGGAGCAACGCUGCGUGAGUGAUGACGGCCUUCGGGUUGUAAAGCUCUGUUAAUCGGGACGAAUGGUUCUUGUGCAAAUAGUGCGAGGAUUUGACGGUACCGGAAUAGAAAGCCACGGCUAACUACGUGCCAGCAGCCGCGGUAAUACGUAGGUGGCAAGCGUUGUCCGGAAUUAUUGGGCGUAAAGCGCGCGCAGGCGGAUUGGUCAGUCUGUCUUAAAAGUUCGGGGCUUAACCCCGUGAUGGGAUGGAAACUGCCAAUCUAGAGUAUCGGAGAGGAAAGUGGAAUUCCUAGUGUAGCGGUGAAAUGCGUAGAUAUUAGGAAGAACACCAGUGGCGAAGGCGACUUUCUGGACGAAAACUGACGCUGAGGCGCGAAAGCCAGGGGAGCGAACGGG